UUGGAGGGCAAGUCUGGUGCCAGCAGCCGCGGUAAUUCCAGCUCCAAUAGCAUAUAUUAAAGUUGUUGCAGUUAAUAAGCUCGUAGUUGAAUUUCGGGGUUAGUAGGUUGGUCAUGCCACUGGUAUGUACUGGUCUCACUGAUUCCUCCUUCCUGAUGAGACGUAAUGCCAUUAAUUUGGUGUUGCGAGGAAUCUGGACUGUUACUUUGAAAAAAUUAGAGUGUUUAAAGCAGGCUAACGCUUGAAUACAUUAGCAUGGAAUAAUGAAAUAGGACGUUCGAUCUUAUUUUGUUGGUUUCUAGGAUUGACGUAAUGAUUAAUAGGGAUAGUUGGGGGCAUUAGUAUUCAAUUGUCAGAGGUGAAAUUCUUGGAUUUAUUGAAGACUAACUACUGCGAAAGCAUUUGCCAAGGAUGUUUUCAUUAAUCAAGAACGAAAGUUAGGGGAUCGAAGACGAUCAGAUACCGUCGUAGUCUUAACCAUAAACUAUGCCGACUAGGGAUCGGAUGAUGUUAAUUUUUUAAUGACUCAUUCGGCGCCUUACGGGAAACCAAAGUGUUUGGGUUC
rnacentral:rRNA from 1 species